rnacentral:tRNA from 1 species
GAGGGUGUAGCUCAGUGGUAGAGCACACGCUUAGCAUGUGGGAGGUCCUGGGUUCAAUCCCUAGUCCCUCCA